GCCUGGGUGGCUCAGUUGGUUAAGCGUCUGACUUUGGCUCAGGUCAUGAACUCACAGUUGGUGGGUUCAAGCCCCGCGUCAGGCU
rnacentral:tRNA from 1 species